rnacentral:rRNA from 1 species
UACGUAGGGGGCAAGCGUUGUCCGGAAUUACUGGGCGUAAAGCGCACGUAGGCGGAUUUGUAAGUCAGGGGUGAAAUCCCGGGGCUCAACCUCGGAACUGCCUUUGAUACUGCAAGUCUUGAGUCCGAUAGAGGUGAGUGGAAUUCCUAGUGUAGAGGUGAAAUUCGUAGAUAUUAGGAAGAACACCAGUGGCGAAGGCGGCUCACUGGAUCGGUACUGACGCUGAGGUGCGAAAGCGUGGGGAGCAAACAGG